AAAGAGCUGCUUCCAAUGCUGAUGCAUUGUCCUACCAAAGCUGCAAUGGCAGAAGCCCUGCUCUGGAGGGAUGCUGGAGUUGAGAAGGGCCCAGAAGAUUAAAGAUAAGGAGUGCCUCCUGCCUUCCUGAAGUCACUGGUCCUGCGUUCUCCCAUCUCCAUAUUCCUCUACAGACAAAUCAGUAAUGACAGAGAAACAGACAUGAACCUAGACCGGCAGCUGGAGGGCAGCACUCUGUCUCAUCUUAGACUCGAAUCAAGAAGCCCUGUGGAUCAUGGACAGAAGCCUCUGCAACCUAAGAUUCUCCAUUGUCCUUUCACAUCGAAGACUUCCUGGAACUCCUAGGCAAUCGCCUGAAAAGUAUCAGCAAGUCAUAUCCAUCUUCAGCCUUGGGCCCAGGAUGUCUGCUGCCUGCUCCCAGAAAAGAAGCCAUGUUGGGCGUACAAACUAAAUACAGAACAUGACCAAAAGGCAAAGGAUGUUUCCAAAAGGGAAACUGCAAACUGAGACAAUAGUUUUGCAGAUCAAUAGGAAGCCUUUAAAGGCCCACUGAUGAGCUGGCCUACAGGGAUGCUAGUCUUCUGUAAGAGGAAGAGAAAACGAAUCAAUACGAUGUGAAACUGAUAUUAAAUGGCUGCGAUUCACCCCCA
rnacentral:lncRNA from 1 species